UCCCUGGUGGCCUAGUGGUUAAGGAUUCGGCAUUGUCACUGCUGUGGUGUGGGUUCGACCCCUGGCCUGGGAA
rnacentral:tRNA from 1 species